rnacentral:rRNA from 1 species
UACGUAGGGUGCAAGCGUUGUCCGGAAUUAUUGGGCGUAAAGAGCUCGUAGGUGGCCUGUCGCGUCGGCUGUGAAAACUCGGGGCUCAACUCCGAGCUUGCAGUCGAUACGGGCAGGCUAGAGUUCGGCAGGGGAGACUGGAAUUCCUGGUGUAGCGGUGAAAUGCGUAGAUAUCGGGAGGAACACCUGUGGCGAAAGCGGCGCACUGGACCAUAACUGACGCUGAUGCGCGAAAGCUAGGGGAGCAAACAGG